UACGUAGGGUGCAAGCGUUUGUCCGGAAUUAUUGGGCGUAAAGAGCUCGUAGGCGGCUUGUCACGUCUGCUGUGAAAACUCGGGGCUCAACCCCCGAGCCUGCAGUGGAUACGGGCUAGCUAGAGUGCGGUAGGGGAGACUGGAAUUCCUGGUGUAGCGGUGAAAUGCGCAGAUAUCAGGAGGAACACCGGUGGCGAAGGCGGGUCUCUGGACCGAUACUGACGCUGAGGAGCGAAAGCGUGGGGAGCGAACAGG
rnacentral:rRNA from 1 species